rnacentral:rRNA from 1 species
GAGUUUGAUCAUGGCUCAGAUUGAACGCUGGCGGCAGGCCUAACACAUGCAAGUCGAGCGGUAGCACAGAGAGCUUGCUCUCGGGUGACGAGCGGCGGACGGGUGAGUAAUGUCUGGGAAACUGCCUGAUGGAGGGGGAUAACUACUGGAAACGGUAGCUAAUACCGCAUAACGUCGCAAGACCAAAGUGGGGGACCUUCGGGCCUCAUGCCAUCAGAUGUGCCCAGAUGGGAUUAGCUAGUAGGUGGGGUAACGGCUCACCUAGGCGACGAUCCCUAGCUGGUCUGAGAGGAUGACCAGCCACACUGGAACUGAGACACGGUCCAGACUCCUACGGGAGGCAGCAGUGGGGAAUAUUGCACAAUGGGCGCAAGCCUGAUGCAGCCAUGCCGCGUGUGUGAAGAAGGCCUUCGGGUUGUAAAGCACUUUCAGCGGGGAGGAAGGCGUUAAGGUUAAUAACCUUGGCGAUUGACGUUACCCGCAGAAGAAGCACCGGCUAACUCCGUGCCAGCAGCCGCGGUAAUACGGAGGGUGCAAGCGUUAAUCGGAAUUACUGGGCGUAAAGCGCACGCAGGCGGUCUGUCAAGUCGGAUGUGAAAUCCCCGGGCUCAACCUGGGAACUGCAUUCGAAACUGGCAGGCUAGAGUCUUGUAGAGGGGGGUAGAAUUCCAGGUGUAGCGGUGAAAUGCGUAGAGAUCUGGAGGAAUACCGGUGGCGAAGGCGGCCCCCUGGACAAAGACUGACGCUCAGGUGCGAAAGCGUGGGGAGCAAACAGGAUUAGAUACCCUGGUAGUCCACGCCGUAAACGAUGUCGAUUUGGAGGUUGUGCCCUUGAGGCGUGGCUUCCGGAGCUAACGCGUUAAAUCGACCGCCUGGGGAGUACGGCCGCAAGGUUAAAACUCAAAUGAAUUGACGGGGGCCCGCACAAGCGGUGGAGCAUGUGGUUUAAUUCGAUGCAACGCGAAGAACCUUACCUGGUCUUGACAUCCACAGAACUUUSCAGAGAUGGWUUGGUGCCUUCGGGAACUGUGAGACAGGUGCUGCAUGGCUGUCGUCAGCUCGUGUUGUGAAAUGUUGGGUUAAGUCCCGCAACGAGCGCAACCCUUAUCCUUUGUUGCCAGCGGUUMGGCCGGGAACUCAAAGGAGACUGCCAGUGAUAAACUGGAGGAAGGUGGGGAUGACGUCAAGUCAUCAUGGCCCUUACGACCAGGGCUACACACGUGCUACAAUGGCAUAUACAAAGAGAAGCGACCUCGCGAGAGCAAGCGGACCUCAUAAAGUAUGUCGUAGUCCGGAUUGGAGUCUGCAACUCGACUCCAUGAAGUCGGAAUCGCUAGUAAUCGUAGAUCAGAAUGCUACGGUGAAUACGUUCCCGGGCCUUGUACACACCGCCCGUCACACCAUGGGAGUGGGUUGCAAAAGAAGUAGGUAGCUUAACCUUCGGGAGGGCGCU